rnacentral:rRNA from 1 species
CAACCCUAGAGAUAGGGCUUUCCCUUCGGGGACAGAGUGACAGGUGGUGCAUGGUUGUCGUCAGCUCGUGUCGUGAGAUGUUGGGUUAAGUCCCGCAACGAGCGCAACCCUUGAUCUUAGUUGCCAGCAUUCAGUUGGGCACUCUAAGGUGACUGCCGGUGACAAACCGGAGGAAGGUGGGGAUGACGUCAAAUCAUCAUGCCCCUUAUGACCUGGGCUACACACGUGCUACAAUGGACAGAACAAAGGGCUGCGAGACCGCAAGGUUUAGCCAAUCCCACAAAUCUGUUCUCAGUUCGGAUCGCAGUCUGCAACUCGACUGCGUGAAGCUGGAAUCGCUAGUAAUCGCGGAUCAGCAUGCCGCGGUGAAUACGUUCCCGGGCCUUGUACACACCGCCCGUCACACCACGAGAGUUUGCAACACCCGAAGUCGGUGAGGUAACCUUUAUGGAGCCAGCCGCCCGAAAAGGGGGGGCCGU